CGGGGAGAGCGGGGAGGGGGUUCCCUAGGGAGCGUGGGGAGUCCGGAGAGCAUGGGGAGGGGUCCCAGAGUGCUGGCCUCCGGAGAGCCGGUGGGAGGGUUUGAGAGUGGAAGGCUGGGAGCCUUCUUCAGCCUCUUUUUGGUGGCGACACUGGGUCUCCCUAAGUUGCUCAGGCUGGCCUGGAACUUGUGAGUCUUCUGCUCAGCCUCCUGAGCCUCUGGACCUGGCCAGAUCGCUGGUGCUGAUGGAAGGACUAGGUGUGCUCAAUUGGAGACCAAACCCAGUGACAGUUAAGUGUCCUCAUCAGAGCAGGAAGAGGCUGGGCAUGGUGGCCACACUGGCGAUCCAGCAACUUGGCAGACGGAGGGGCCGCAUUCCAGGCCGGCCUG
rnacentral:lncRNA from 1 species